rnacentral:rRNA from 1 species
UACGGGGGGGGGCAAGCGUUGUUCGGAAUUACUGGGCGUAAAGGGCUCGUAGGCGGCCAACUAAGUCGGAUGUGAAAUCCCCAGGCUCAACCUGGGAACUGCAUCCGAUACUGGAUGGCUUGAAUUCGGGAGAGGGAUGCAGAAUUCCAGGUGUAGCGGUGAAAUGCGUAGAUAUCUGGAGGAAUACCGGUGGCGAAGGCGGCAUCCUGGACCGACAUUGACGCUGAUGAGCGAAAGCUAGGGGAGCAAACGGG